rnacentral:lncRNA from 1 species
CUCAUCUGUAACCCAGCAAACAUCUGUCACACAGCACACAUCUGUCACCCAGCUCUCAUUUCUCACCCAGCACACAUCUGUCACCCAGCUCUGAUGUCACCCAUAUCUCCUCUGUAAUCCAGCUCACAUCUGUCACACAGCACACAUUAGUCUCCGAGCACACAUCUAUCACCCAGCUCUCAUCUGUCACACAACUCACAUGUUUCACCCAGCUCUCAAAACUGUCACCCAGCACACAUCUGUCACCCAGCACACAUCUGUCACCCAGCUCUCAUCUGUCACCCAGCACACAUCUGUCACCCAGCUCUCAUGUGUCACCCUGCUCUCAUCUGUCACACAGCUCUCAUCUGUACCCAACUCUCACUGUCACCACAGAUCUCCUCUGUCACCCAGCUUCAUCUGUCUCCCAGCACA